CGGGUGAGUACUACUUGGGCAAUCUGCCCUCAAGAGGGAGACAACCUGCCGAAAGGCGGGCUAAUAUCCCGUAAGACCACAGGAUGACAUCGUCCAGAGGUCAAAGCUCCGCAAGGGGCGCUAGAGGAGGGGCCCGAGGCCUAUCGUGGUAGUUGGUGGGGUAACGGCCCACCAAGCCUUUGACGGGUAGCCGGCCUGAAAGGGUGAUCGGCCACACUGGCACUGAGACACGGGCCAG
rnacentral:rRNA from 1 species